rnacentral:rRNA from 1 species
CAGUCGUACUUAUGGGUAAUCAGCCUUUUGGGUGUGAUUUUGUGGAGCGUCAAGAGUUAAACGCCUUCAUGCCUGCAUAUUCGUAUACUUUGGGUGUACUUAUUCGUGUGGUAAGUUAACAUCAAUUUUGGGAUCAUAAAAUGACUAGAGGAAUGUAGCUUUGGCUCGUAUCGAAGUGUUAUAGACUCUGGGUGAUGUGACGAUUGGGGAUUGAGGAUU